rnacentral:lncRNA from 1 species
GGGGCGCGCCGGCCGCUCCGCCGGCCCCACGCGCGGGACCCCGGCCCGCCGCCCGCCGGCCCGCGCCCACCAGGCCCGAGCGGGCAGGCCGGCUGGCGAGCAGGGGGCGGGCGGGAGACGGAACAAAAGCGCCUUUGUUGAGCGGCAGCCGCCGGAGGGUCACACACAAUGGAGGAGGGAGCCGGCUCCGCCGCCGCCGGGCCCGCCGCGGCGCCCUCCCGAGCCGCCCCGCCGGCGCCCCGCACACGUACACACACACACUCACGGGACUCCUCCGGCUCAUCGAGGGAGUGCGGGGCCCGCGGACAGCCCCCAGGGUCGGCUCAGGUCUCCGGCUGGGCUGACGGCAGCGGCGUCUCCGAGGCUCUCGCUUUGCCGCAGUCGCCGCCAUGUAACCCCGACCCGAGAGAGAGGGCGAGGGAGAUGGGGCGGGGCCUCCGGGGCCACGCCCCCGCACGUCACAGGCUCACUCCACGGGUUCCCCCGCCCCCGCCCGGCCCCGCGCGCCAGCACGCGCCGGAAUUUCCAAAUCCUGUGACUGGGCUCCGCGGGCCGCGGGGGCGGCGCAGGGCGCGCGGGCGCUGGGGCCGCCUCCGGAGGCUGGACCCGGGACCGCUCUGCUAUGCUCCCUGUCCCCGCGCUGGAGCACAGCGACCCAACUCCUUGCGAGCGUUUCCUGCGCACCUACUACGUGCAAGGCGCUGGCAGUCCAGGAGGAAUAGGCCUUCGUCCCUGUCCCCGGAAAUGGGCCUGGAACGAGAAGGCUGGAGCUGAAGAUGGAUUGGCUAGAAGGCAACAGCCGACGUACAGGGCAAACGCGUUAGAGGCCAGGUGCUAAGGAGGUUGUUAAAUCUGCCCGCGGGUACGAAGGAAGGCUUCUAAGGGAGGUCGCCACGGGUGACCUUUCAGCUGUAUCAGAAGGAGCUGAUAUAACCGGAGGAGUACCAGGCGUGAAGAGGAGACGGAGAGCAGAUAAAACUAAGACAGAGGAGAGGCAUGUUCCAACUGCAAGGCUUCUAAUUUGUGGAUGCAGACAAAAGCAACAAGAUCUCCUUACCUGUGACCACUAUCCAUGCCUACUGCCCCGCUCUAGGCUCCCCUCAGAUUCCUAAGACACCUUUCCUCCCCCAUCCAUCAAUGUUUGAUCAUGGUGGGGGGGGGGGGGGGGGGGGGGGGGAAUAAAUCACAAGCACAGGUCCAGCAGAGACCACCAAAAUAACCUGUUGAUCAAUCAAAGCCAAGUUUAUUGCUUACAGCAGUAAGAGAGACCACUAUGUUGACAGUCUCAGUAGUGUCUCAAAGAGGAAGGUCAAGGGUAGGAUAGUUAUAAGAUUCAGGGGAUCUGGUUUAAGACAGGUCUUUCAGUAAAAGAGCAUGGUUGAGACUGGGCUAAAUUUGUGAUAUAGUAGUUUAGGAUGAGUGGACACAGGGAGGGGAGAGUUUUGAAGCAAGCCUAAAAGAGUAAGCAGUUGUUCAAUAAACCCAAUAGAGUAAUCUUGUUGAGGAGGGGGCUGUUUACCCUGACGAAGGCUGGGUCAGUCAGUAGUCUGUUGUUCAGAUAAGUGGACUUUGAAGAAGUUCUUGAAGCUGCACUUAAGUUAUUUGCAACUUCUCUGGCAAGAAUUUCUUGGAAUUAAAGUCAUGUUUAUG